ACUACGGGUGGCAGCAGUGAGGAAUAUUGGUCAAUGGUCGGGAGACUGAACCAGCCAAGCCGCGUGAGGGAGGAAGGUACAGAGUAUCGUAAACCUCUUUUGUCAGGGAACAAAGGCGGGGACGUGUCCCCGGAUGAGUGUACCUGAAGACAAAGCAUCGGCUAACUCCGUGCCAGCAGCCGCGGUAAUACGGAGGAUGCGAGCGUUAUCCGGAUUUCUUGGGGUUAAAGGGUGCGCAGGCGGUCUGUUAAGUAAGCGGUAAAAGCCCGGGGCUCAACCCCGGCCCGCCGUUGAAACUGGCAGUCUCGAGUUGGAGAGAGGUAUGCGGAAUGCGCGGUUUAGCGGUGAAAUGCAUAGAUAUCGCGCAGAACUCCGAUUGCGAAGGCAGCAUGCCGGCUCCACACUGACGCUGAGGCACGAAAGCGUGGGUAUCGAACAGGAUUAGAUACCCGUGUAGUC
rnacentral:rRNA from 1 species